UGCAAGCGUUAAUCGGAAUUACUGGGCGUAAAGCGUGCGCAGGCGGUUAUACAAGACAGGCGUGAAAUCCCCGGGCUUAACCUGGGAAUGGCGCCUGUGACUGUAUAGCUAGAGUGUGUCAGAGGGGGGUAGAAUUCCACGUGUAGCAGUGAAAUGCGUAGAUAUGUGGAGGAAUACCAAUGGCGAAGGCAGCCCCCUGGGAUAACACUGACGCUCAUGCACGAAAGCGUGGGGAGCAAACAGGAUUAGAUACCCUGGUAGUCCACGCCCUAAACGAUGCUGACUAGUUGUUCGGAAUUUACAUUCUGAGUAACGUAGCUAACGCGUGAAGUCAGCCGCCUGGGGAGUACGGUCGCAAGAUUAAAACUCAAAGGAAUUGACGGGGACCCGCACAAGCGGUGGAUGAUGUGGAUUAAUUCGAUGCAACGCGAAAAACCUUACCUACCCUUGACAUGUCACUAACGAAGUAGAGAUACAUUAGGUGCCCGUAAGGGAAAGUGAACACAGGUGCUGCAUGGCUGUCAUCAGCUCGUGUCGUGAGAUGUUGGGUUUAGUCCCGCAACGAGCGCAACCCUUGUCUUUAGUUGCUACGCAAGAGC
rnacentral:rRNA from 1 species